CCACCUGACCCCAUGCCGAACUCAGAAGUGAAACGCCGUAGCGCCGAUGGUAGUGUGGGGUGUCCCCAUGCGAGAGUAGGACACUGCCAGGC
rnacentral:rRNA from 1 species